UACGUAGGGGGCUAGCGUUGUCCGGAUUUAUUGGGCGUAAAGAGCGUGUAGGCGGCUUGGUAGGUCUGCUGUGAAAACUCGAGGCUCAACCUCGAGCUGUCGGCGGAAACCACUUGGCUAGAGUCCGGAAGAGGAGAGUGGAAUUCCUGGUGUAGCGGUGAAAUGCGCAGAUAUCAGGAAGAACACCUAUGGCGAAGGCAGCUCUCUGGGACGGUACUGACGCUGAGACGCGAAAGCGUGGGGAGCGAACAGG
rnacentral:rRNA from 1 species